rnacentral:rRNA from 1 species
UACAGAGGUCCCGAGCGUUGUUCGGAUUCACUGGGCGUAAAGGGUGCGUAGGUGGCGUGGUAAGUUUGAUGUGAAAGCUCAGGGCUUAACCCUGAAAUGGCAUUGAAUACUACUAUGCUGGAGGUUUGGAGGGGGGACUGGAAUUCUUGGUGUAGCAGUGAAAUGCGUAGAUAUCAAGAGGAACACCAGUGGCGAAGGCGAGUCCCUGGACAACACCUGACACUGAGGCACGAAGGCCAGGGGAGCAAACGGG